rnacentral:rRNA from 1 species
CCCGCACAAGCGGUGGAGCAUGUGGUUUAAUUCGACGCAACGCGCAGAACCUUACCAGCCUUGACAUCCCGGUCGCGGUUUCCAGAGAUGGAUUCCUUUCAGUUCGGCUGGACCGGUGACAGGUGCUGCAUGGCUGUCGUCAGCUCGUGUCGUGAGAUGUUGGGUUAAGUCCCGCAACGAGCGCAACCCCGUCCUUAGUUGCUACCAUUUAGUUGAGCACUCUAAGGAGACUGCCGGUGAUAAGCCGCGAGGAAGGUGGGGAUGACGUCAAGUCCUCAUGGCCCUUACGGGCUGGGCUACACACGUGCUACAAUGGCGGUGACAAUGGGACGCUAAGAGGCAACUCUUCGCAAAUCUCAAAAAGCCGUCUCAGUUCGGAUUGGGCUCUGCAACUCGAGCCCAUGAAGUUGGAAUCGCUAGUAAUCGUGGAUCAGCAUGCCACGGUGAAUACGUUCCCGGGCCUU